rnacentral:rRNA from 1 species
CACCGCGGUUAUACGAGGGGCCCAAACCGACAUUCAACGGCGUAAAGCGUGAUUAGAGAUAAAACAAGACUAAAGAAGAACGCCCCCUAAGCUGUUAUACGCUAAUGGAGAGGCUGAAACCCUGCAACGAAAGUGACUUUAAAAAUCUUGAACUCACGAACAUUAAGAAA